UGCACCACUCCAUCUCUAUCUUUACCUGAGAACCACACGAGAAAUGGGCAGGGCUGGACCUUAGUGGAGAGAGGAUAGUUUGAAUCUUGGUCCUACCAUUUCCAUGCCACUUUGGGCAAGUUACUUGGCUACUCUGUGGCUCAGUUUCUCCAUCUGUACAAUGAAGGUAAGAGUAUCUACUUUAUGCAUUUGUGGUGCCAGCUAAAUAAUUUUACGACAUGAAGCUAAGAAGUGUGUAAGCACUCACUUGCUGUGGCAGGGUUGAUCCAGCCUUGAGGUGAAAGCACCAAACCUGUCCCCAGAGAUAGUUACAGAAGAGAUCUCAGUGAUCAGCCAUCUCCCCCCAUCCUUUAACAUUUGGGAAACCCGGGGGCUCCAGAGAGGAAGUGACUGUCAAAAAUUACAUUGCUUGUCAGCAGCAGAAUCUUUCUAAUGGUUCUCUAAAGUGAUCUGCUUGGUUCCUGUUUGCGUUCCUCUAAAGCAAAGACUGUAGUGGCUUUAUAAGCGUCUGAGAGCAGUGCUCUAUUUCUGUACUCUUGCUCCCAGGGUUCCCUUAUUUAGUCUUUGCUCUAAUACACAGCUCAGGGGUUGCUGGACUCCCUUGCAUUGUCCCAGCACUGGGAUUGACUGUGUGUUUAAUCCCCACUGACAACCAGGCACUGUGCCCUCAGUACAUUCUAACAAAUGCCCUGUGAGAGAAACCAACACUUAGUCAUUUUGCAGAUGUGGAAACAGAGGCAGAAAUAAGAAGCUGUGCCCAAGGUCACCCAGAUAUGAAAUGAAGAGAACUUAGAAAAAUUGCAUCGUGAUCAAGCGCUCUGACCUUGGCAAGUUUCUUAGCCCAUUCGUCUCCUUGCUUUCUGUAAAAUGGAGAUGGGUGCCCCUCCUGGGCUCCUCCUCCGGGACAGGCGUGAAGGAUCUGAGUUCUACUUGCAGGUGGAGAUUAAAAAGAAUAAAGGCAGUCCUUUUCACUAGAGAAAUGGAGCAAAGAGCUUCUAUUUGCUUGGCAAUCAUUUCUGGGUUUUGUAGGAAUCUUGUCUUGAAAAGGAUCUCGUCGUGGUCCCUGGACCUGCUCCAACAGUUCAAAAAGCAGACUCAGGGCCUGCAGAGCCACCGAGUCAGAACCUGCUGUUUUCUAGGAUCUCCUGGAGGUUCCUGGGUACACUCCAUUUGAAAAAGCUCUGGUCAACAGCACUGAUUCUUAACCCUGGCUGAAGUUAUGGGUUGAAUUGCGUUCUUCAAAAUGAUGUUGAAGUCCUAAUCCGCAGAAGCUGUGAAUGUGACCUUAUUUGGAAAUACGGUCUUUACAAAUGAUCAGGUUGAGGCCAUUAGAAUGGAUGGACCCAAAUCCAACAUGACUGUGUUCAUAUAAAAAAAAUUGAGACACAGAGACAGACAUGAACACAGGGAGAAUCUAAUAUGAAGAUGAAGGCAGAGAUCAAGGUAAUGCAUCUUCAAGACAAGGAGAACCAAAGACUGAUGGGAACCAGCAGGUGCUAGGAGGGAGGCGUGGAACAGAUUUUCCCUUAUGGCCUUCAGAAAGAACCAACUCUAUCUACACUUUGGUCUCCCACUUCUAGCUUCUAGAACGGAUACAUGUGCAGGACAUGUAGGUUUGUUACACGGAUAAACAUGUGCCAUGGCGACUUGCUGCGCAUAUCAACCCAUCACCUAGUGUGGUGGAGAAGGAAGAGAGAGCUGAGGCAGACGAUGUAAGAUCUGCUGUUACUUCUUGCUGUGUGACCUUGGUUCCAAACCUGGGCUAAAUUCCGUGUGGUUCAAGAAUAACCACCAGAUGGGAAGAGAAUACAGAUCAGCUUGUCCAAUAAAGAAAGGAAAAAUCCAAAGGAGAUUAUAAUAUAGACUCAUCAACUUCUAAGCAAGACUCUACUACCCAGACACCGAAAGAAGAAAUGAUUAACCCUGGAGGCUGCGUCGGUCUAGGUGAAAAAAUAUAUGUACAACCACAGUGCAAUCAAACUAGAACUCAGGAUUAAGAAACCCACUCAAAACCGCUCAACUACAUGGAAACUGAACAACCUGCUCCUGAAUAACUACUGGGUACAUAACCAAAUGAAGGCAGAAAUAAAGAUGUUCUUUGAAACCAACAAGAACAAAGACACAACAUACCAGAAUCUCUGGGACACAUUCAAAGCAGUGUGUAGAGGGAAAUUUAUAGCACUAAAUGCCCACAAGAGAAAGCAGGAAAGAUCUAAAAUUGACAUCCUAACAUCACAAUUAAAAGAACUAGAAAAGCAAGAGCAAACACAUUCAAAAGCUAGCAGAAGGCUAGAAAUAACUAAAAUUAGAGCAGAACUGAAGGAAAUAGAGACACAAAAAACCCUUCACAAAAAUCAAUGAAUCCAGGAGCUGGUUUUUUGAAAAGAUCAACAAAAUUGAUAGACUGUUAGCAAGACUAAUAAAGAAGGAAAGAGAAAAGAAUCAGAUAGACGCAAUAAAAAAUGAUAAAGGGGAUAUCACCACCAAUCCCACAGAAAUACAAACUACCAUCAGAG